UUUUGUGGUAAGGACAAAUUGGGCAGAAAAUGAGAGUAUAGCAGAUGAUUAGCCAUGUUUUGAUGUAUAUGUUGCCCACUAAGCACUUUCUGCUUAUUUUACAGUCUCCAUUGUGUAUAGUAAUAUUUUUAAUAGAGGGGAAUCUAUUGCUGACUACUGAUGGACACUUUUUGUUUCUGAAGCCUUCAUCAUCUUUGAUUGAACGUUACAGGUGGAAGAAUAUGGUGAUAAACAUCUAACAAGCAUAAGGAGGAAAGAGAUCUAUGGAUGGAGGAUCAGAGAUCCAGGGCAAUGGCUGACAGCUCAAUUAAAUUCUUGCCACUCUUCAGUUUCCAAUAAAUUUUUAAUUUGUCUCUCCA
rnacentral:lncRNA from 1 species